GAUGAACGCUAGCGGCAGGCCUAACACAUGCAAGUCGAGGGGCAGCACGUCUUCGGAUGGUGGCGACCGGCGCACGGGUGCGUAACGCGUAUGCAACCUACCUCUUACAGUGGGAUAGCCCAGAGAAAUUUGGAUUAAUACCGCAUAGUAUACAGAUUCAGCAUUGGGACUGUAUUAAACAUUUAUGGGUAAGAGAUGGGCAUGCGUUCUAUUAGUUAGUUGGAGUGGUAACGGCACCCCAAGACAGCGAUAGAUAGGGGCCCUGAGAGGGGGAUCCCCCACACUGGUACUGAGACACGGACCAGACUCCUACGGGAGGCAGCAGUGAGGAAUAUUGGACAAUGGGCGAGAGCCUGAUCCAGCCAUCGCCGCGUG
rnacentral:rRNA from 1 species